CAGGAAAUAGUUUAGGCUAGAAUAGUAACUUUGGGAGUUACCGGUGCAAGUUUAAAAUCUUGUUUUCCUGA
rnacentral:tRNA from 1 species